rnacentral:rRNA from 1 species
AGAGUGAACGCUGGCGGUAGGCCUAACACAUGCAAGUCGAACGGCAGCACAGCAGGAGCUUGCUCUUACGGGUGGCGAGUGGCGGACGGGUGAGGAAUACAUCGGAAUCUACCUUUUGGUGGGGGAUAACGUAGGGAAACUUACGCUAAUACCGCAUACGCCCUUCGGGGGAAAGCCGGGGACCAGCAAUGGCCUGGUGCUGAUAGAUGAGCCGAUGUCGGAUUAGCUAGUUGGUGAGGUAAUGGCUCACCGAAGGCGACGAUCCGGUAGCUGGUCUGAGAGGAUGAUCAGCCACACUGGAACUGGAAGACACGGUCCAGACUACCGUAGGGAGCAGCAGGUGGGAAUAGUUCG